AUAGCAGUUGCUGUCAAUUAACUUAAUUGAAUGGUGUCCCUGAACGGGAGGAGAGGUGCACCCUUCAGAGCAGGAGCCGGGCAGCAGCUGACUCCAUUGUCUCCCACAGUUACACCUCUGAGUCUACAUUGGCCAAGAGCCAUGGUGUGGGUGUGACUUCAUAAAAUAAAAAAAGAAAUCAUCUAUAAAUCAACAGUAGAGCACCAGAUUCACCCGACACAAGCAGGAGCCGCUAUAAUACAACUGGACAUCCUGGGAAAUUCACAAAAUCCUGGGUACGCCCUCCCCCCAAAUAACCUGUUACCAAUCUUGGAUGGUUUUAUUAUACCCAUAGCCACCUGAGUCCCAGACCACAUGGUGGACAGUUAUUGCGAGAGCCGGAAAUCAGCAUUGAUCGGCAGCUUGUAAGCGCUGCUGUGAACUAAGCUCCCUGACGCCGUAACCCUUUGACACUGUGGACGGCACUGAGUGUGGACGGAAUUUAAGUAUCUAUGUCUGUCUGAUAUGGGAAUUUCUCUGUGAUGUCAAUACUGUUUUAAUGUAAUAAACAAUGUUAAAAAGUUUUUUUAGAUGAUA